UAUCUAAUAAUUUCUUACUUUUAUUUUUAACAUGUGGAUAAAGACAACUGAGAACAUAUUCUAAUUGGACUUAGGACACAAUGAGCCUUGUUUUAAAUAUGAGAGAAAAGAUGAUAUAUAUUAUAAUCAUAUUGUCCCUGCUGUUUGAAGAUCUUCUGAAUUUCAAUGAUAACAGAGGCACAACAAGAGAUAGAAAGUCACAAGUGAAACUGUAGCUACUAUGAAGCUAUCUCAGAGGUUCAUCCAAGUUUCUUUGACACUCAGAGGAUUCAGAAGAGCCAAUGGCAUUAAAGAAUGAUGAUAACUGCCAAGACAAUGUGGGAGAAAUGAGUAAAACUCUUAACUCAGCAGACUUUCUGAGCAUCUUCUGUUUCUUUGGUAUUAUACAUUCAAAUAUACAGUAUUGGGU
rnacentral:lncRNA from 1 species